CAAGUCGAGCGGUAGAGAGGUGCUUGCACCUCUUGAGAGCGGCGGACGGGUGAGUAAUACCUAGGAAUCUGCCUGGUAGUGGGGGAUAACGUUCGGAAACGGACGCUAAUACCGCAUACGUCCUACGGGAGAAAGCAGGGGACCUUCGGGCCUUGCGCUAUCAGAUGAGCCUAGGUCGGAUUAGCUAGUUGGUGAGGUAAUGGCUCACCAAGGCUACGAUCCGUAACUGGUCUGAGAGGAUGAUCAGUCACACUGGAACUGAGACACGGUCCAGACUCCUACGGGAGGCAGCAGUGGGGAAUAUUGGACAAUGGGCGAAAGCCUGAUCCAGCCAUGCCGCGUGUGUGAAGAAGGUCUUCGGAUUGUAAAGCACUUUAAGUUGGGAGGAAGGGCAUUAACCUAAUACGUUAGUGCUUUGACGUUACCGACAGAAUAAGCACCGGCUAACUCUGUGCCAGCAGCCGCGGUAAUACAGAGGGUGCAAGCGUUAAUCGGAAUUACUGGGCGUAAAGCGCGCGUAGGUGGUUUGUUAAGUUGAAUGUGAAAUCCCCGGGCUCAACCUGGGAACUGCAUCCAAAACUGGCAAGCUAGAGUAUGGUAGAGGGUGGUGGAAUUUCCUGUGUAGCGGU
rnacentral:rRNA from 2 species